rfam:Anopheles sinensis unplaced genomic scaffold AS2_scf7180000694985, whole genome shotgun sequence.
AAUCACCCGAUAUAGCUGGUUGACAUCGGGUCAAAUCGUAAUAUUGUACAAGCAAUAUUUUCCCUUUGCGAAUGCAUUUGGUCCCCUUCAACCAGCUGUAGCAGUGAUUGAAC